rnacentral:tRNA from 1 species
GCCAUAUAGUUUAAAUAGAACAACAGUUUUGUAAGCUGAGAGUGAUUAUUGGUCUGUCUAUGGCU